CGAAGGGGCUAGCGUUGUUCGGAAUCACUGGGCGUAAAGGGUGCGUAGGCGGGUUAUUAAGUCAGAGGUGAAAUCCUGGAGCUCAACUCCAGAACUGCCUUUGAUACUGAUAGUCUUGAGUAUGGGAGAGGUGAGUGGAACUGCGAGUGUAGAGGUGAAAUUCGUAGAUAUUCGCAAGAACACCAGUGGCGAAGGCGGCUCACUGGCCCAUUACUGACGCUGAGGCACGAAAGCGUGGGGAGCAAACAGGAUU
rnacentral:rRNA from 1 species